rnacentral:rRNA from 1 species
UACGAAGGGGGCUAGCGUUGCUCGGAAUCACUGGGCGUAAAGGGUGCGUAGGCGGGUCUUUAAGUCAGGGGUGAAAUCCUGGAGCUCAACUCCAGAACUGCCUUUGAUACUGAGGAUCUUGAGUUCGGGAGAGGUGAGUGGAACUGCGAGUGUAGAGGUGAAAUUCGUAGAUAUUCGCAAGAACACCAGUGGCGAAGGCGGCUCACUGGCCCGAUACUGACGCUGAGGCA